rnacentral:tRNA from 1 species
CAAGAUGUAGCUAACACGAAAGCAUUCAGCCUACACCUGAAAGACGUCUGCCAUCUCCAGACCAUCUUGA